GAUGAACGCUGGCGGCGUGCCUAAUACAUGCAAGUCGAGCGAAUGGAUUAAGAGCUUGCUCUUAUGAAGUUAGCGGCGGACGGGUGAGUAACACGUGGGUAACCUGCCCAUAAGACUGGGAUAACUCCGGGAAACCGGGGCUAAUACCGGAUAACAUUUUGAACCGCAUGGUUCGAAAUUGAAAGGCGGCUUCGGCUGUCACUUAUGGAUGGACCCGCGUCGCAUUAGCUAGUUGGUGAGGUAACGGCUCACCAAGGCAACGAUGCGUAGCCGACCUGGGAGUGUGAUCGGCCACACUGGGACUGAGACACGGCCCAGACUCCUACGGGAGGCAGCAGUAGGGAAUCUUCCGCAAUGGACGAAAGACUGACGGAGCAACGCCGCGUGAGUGAUGAAGGCUUUCGGGUCGUAAAACUCUGUUGUUAGGGAAGAACAAGUGCUAGUUGAAUAAGCUGGCACCUUGACGGUACCUAACCAGAAAGCCACGGCUAACUACGUGCCAGCCGCCGCGGUAA
rnacentral:rRNA from 1 species